CAUAUACUCCCUCCGUCCGAAAAUACUUGUCACCAAAAUGGAUAAAAAGGGAUGUAUCUAGAACUAAAAUACAUCUAGAUACACCCCAUUUUAUUUAUUUUGAUGACAAGUAUUUCCGGACAGAGGGAGUAGUAU
rnacentral:pre_miRNA from 1 species